rnacentral:rRNA from 1 species
GGUGAUAAAACGGAGGAAGGUGGGGAUGACGUCAAGUCGUCAUGGACCUUAUGGGCUGGGCUAAACACGUGAUACAAUGGUGGUUACAAUGGGAAGGGAAGUCGAAAGGAAAAGCUAAUUCCCAAAAGCCAUCUCAAUUUGAAAAGCACUUUACAAUUUGAGUGCAUGAAGUAAGAAAAGCUCGUAAUCGCGGAUCAGCAUGGGCGCGGUGAAAAUUUCUCGGGCUUUGUUCACACCCCCCGUCACCCCAUGGGAGUUGGUUUUGCCUGAAGACGGUGUGCU